CACCUCCCUCCCUUCCACCUCCCUCCCUCCCUCCCUCCCUCCCUUCCUUCCUUCCUUCCUUCCUUCCUUCCUUCCUUCCUUCCUUCCUUCCUUCCUUCCUUCCUUCCUUCCUUCCUCCCUCCCUUUCUCCCUUUCUUUCUUUCUUUCUUUCUUUCUUUCUUUCUUUCUUUCUUUCUUUCUUUCUUUCUUUCUUUCUUUCUUUCUUUCUUUCUUUCUUUCUUUCUUUCUUUCUUUCUUUCUUUCUUUCUUUCUUUCUUUCUUUCUUUCUUUCUUUCCCUUCCUCACUUCUUUCCUUCUUUCCUUCUUUCCUUCCAUUUUGAAAUCAAUACUGU
ensembl:lncRNA